CAAGCUAGAACCGCCACAUACACUUGAAACAAAUAGCCAAGCCGAAAACUACAGACAAACAUUAUUUAUGCUACUAAGAUCAGUGAAAUGUAGGCUAAACUGACACCGGAGUGAAGAGCAGAAAUCUCAAGUUCUAGCAAGCAAGUCGCAGCAAUGAAGAACGAUUUUCGGCACACCUGUUCAUACUGCUGUAAUGAUAUGCUGUGGUUCGUAAGGACAGCGUAGGUAGAAAAUUGUCAGCCAACAACGUGUAAGGCAGAGCAGGCAAAAUAUGGCACACAGACAGCAGAGCUGGGGACAGAUAUGCAGGGACAGACUGGCAGAGACAAGGAGUCUCAGCUCUGGAGCCCCUGGAGUACAGGCAAAGAUGGAGAGUGUGUACCUCACCCCCUCUUCAAAGCUAGCUGGGUGUGAGAAACCGCAACAAGGGCAUGAAGGUAUACAUAUUCUUCACGAACCAAACUCCAAAAGAUCUGCUGUGUCUCUGAGCUCCAGUGUGCCGAGCGGGUUUCUGGCAGUCAAUGUCCAAUUCCUCUCCCCCUGAUCCACUCGUACUGUUUGGUAGCAGUUUGAGACUGUUCUGUUUGGACAAGCUCUGAAGAAUACAUGGACAGAGAAUGUCACCUCCAGUGAUUAUUACACAAUAAUACUAACAAUACCAUGGCCUGGGUAGUACUCUAGCCUGAUAAAGACAGCUUGCUGUUGAACUGUUGGUGAAUAAAUUAUUGCAUUGGAGCUAC